UACGUAGGGUGCAAGCGUUACUCGGAAUUACUGGGCGUAAAGCGCGCGUAGGCGGUUUGUUAAGUCUGAUGUGAAAGCCCUGGGCUCAACCUGGGAAUUGCAUUGGAUACUGGCAGGCUAGAGUGCGGUAGAGGAUGGCGGAAUUCCCGGUGUAGCAGUGAAAUGCGUAGAGAUCGGGAGGAACAUCUGUGGCGAAGGCGGCCAUCUGGACCAGCACUGACACUGAGGCACGAAAGCGUGGGGAGCAAACAGG
rnacentral:rRNA from 1 species